rnacentral:rRNA from 1 species
GUAGGGAAUAUUGGUCAAUGGACGAAAGUCUGAACCAGCCAUUCCGCGUGCAGGAAGAAGAUUCUAUGGAUUGUAAACUGCCUUUAGCAGAGAAGAAACGCCUUCAUUGAUGAGGGUUUGACGGUAUCUGCGGAAUAAGCACCGGCUAACUCCGUGCCAGCAGCCGCGGUAAUACGGGGGGUGCAAGCGUUAUCCGGAAUCACUGGGUUUACAGGGUGCGUAGGCGGGAAAUUAAGUCAGUGGUGAAAGUCUGUUGCUUAACGAUAGAAUUGCCGUUGAUACUGAGUUUCUUGAAUUGGGUUGAGGUUAGCGGAAUGUGACAUGUAGCGGUGAAAUGUAUAGAUAUGUCAUGGAACACCAAUUGCGAAGGCAGCUAGCUGGGCCUUGAUUGACGCUGAGGCACGAAAGCGUGGGUAGCGAACAGGAUUGGAAACCCGGGUAGUCC